AGGUAGCCUCUUUGCAGAAAAUAUAAUAGCCAAGAAGGUGUUUAACUGCUCGUACAUUAAUUGCCUUUUACUUUUCAGACUUGCUGAGGUUUUUCCUUGAAGCUUGUCUAGUAAGCCUAGGCACAAU